rnacentral:rRNA from 1 species
GACGAACGCUGGCGGCGUGCCUAACACAUGCAAGUCGAACGAAGCACUGCGGAAAGAGACUUCGGUCAAUGGAAGCUUUGACUUAGUGGCGGACGGGUGAGUAACGCGUGAGGAACCUGCCUUCAAGAGGGGAAUAACGUUCUGAAAAGAACGCUAAUACCGCAUAACAUACGGAUGUCGCAUGGCAACCGUAUCAAAGAUUUUAUCGCUUGAAGAUGGACUCGCGUCCGAUUAGCCAGUUGGCGGGGUAACGGCCCACCAAAGCGACGAUCGGUAGCCGGACUGAGAGGUUGAACGGCCACAUUGGGACUGAGACACGGCCCAGACUCCUACGGGAGGCAGCAGUGGGGGAUAUUGCGCAAUGGGGGCAACCCUGACGCAGCAACGCCGCGUGAACGAUGAAGGUC